rnacentral:rRNA from 1 species
UACGUAGGGCGCAAGCGUUAUCCGGAAUUAUUGGGCGUAAAGAGCUCGUAGGCGGUCUGUCACGUCGGCUGUGAAAACCCGAGGCUCAACCUCGGGCCUGCAGUCGAUACGGGCAAACUAGAGUACUGCAGGGGAGACUGGAAUUCCUGGUGUAGCGGUGAAAUGCGCAGAUAUCAGGAGGAACACCGGUGGCGAAGGCGGGUCUCUGGGCCGAUACUGACGCUGGAGGAGCGAAAGCCGUGGGGAGCGAACAGG